rnacentral:rRNA from 1 species
GUGUGUAGGCGGACAUUUAAGUCAGAGGUGAAAUACCCGGGGCCGUCAACCCCGGAACCUGCCCCUCGAUACUAUUUGUCUUGAAUACUGAUGAGGUGGGCGGAACGGGUCAUGUAGCGGUGAAAUGCUUAGAGAUGACCCGGAACACCGAUUGCGAAGGCAGCUCACUGGGCAGUUAUUGACGCUGAGGCACGAAAGCGUGGGGAUCAAACAGGAUUAGAUACCCGAGU